rfam:Trichomonas vaginalis G3, whole genome shotgun sequence.
AAGCACACUUAGGUCAUAGAUUAAGCCCAUGCAAGUGUUAGUUCAGGUAACGAAACUGCGAAUAGCUCAUUAAUACGCUCAGAAUCUAUUUGGCGGCGACCAACAGGUCUUAAAUGGAUAGCAGCAGCAACUCUGGUGCUAAUACAUGCGAUUGUUUCUCCAGAUGUGAAUUAUGGAGGAAAAGUUGACCUCAUCAGAGGCACGCCAUUCGACUGAGUGACCUAUCAGCUUGUACUUAGGGUCUUUACCUAGGUAGGCUAUCACGGGUAACGGGCGGUUACCGUCGGACUGCCGGAGAAGGCGCCUGAGAGAUAGCGACUAUAUCCACGGGUAGCAGCAGGCGCGAAACUUUCCCACUCGAGACUUUCGGAGGAGGUAAUGACCAGUUCCAUUGGUGCCUUUUGGUACUGUGGAUAGGGGUACGGUUUUCCACCGUACCGAAACCUAGCAGAGGGCCAGUCUGGUGCCAGCAGCUGCGGUAAUUCCAGCUCUGCGAGUUUGCUCCCAUAUUGUUGCAGUUAAAACGCCCGUAGUCUGAAUUGGCCAGCAAUGGUCGUACGUAUUUUUACGUUCACUGUGAACAAAUCAGGACGCUUAGAGUAUGGCCACAUGAAUGACUCAGCGCAGUAUGAAGUCUUUGUUUUCUUCCGAAAACAAGCUCAAUGAGAGCCAUCGGGGGUAGAUCUAUCUCAUGACGAGUGGUGGAAUACUUUGACUCAUGAGAGAGAAGCUGAGGCGAAGGCGUCUACCUAGAGGGUUUCUGUCGAUCAAGGGCGAGAGUAGGAGUAUCCAACAGGAUUAGAGACCCUGGUAGUUCCUACCUUAAACGAUGCCGACAGGAGUUUGUCAUUUGUUAAUGGCAGAAUCUUUGGAGAAAUCAUAGUUCUUGGGCUCUGGGGGAACUACGACCGCAAGGCUGAAACUUGAAGGAAUUGACGGAAGAACACACCAGGGGUGGAGCCUGUGGCUUAAUUUGAAUCAACACGGGGAAACUAC